UUUCAAGGGCGCAGAGCCAGCCCAGGAUGUGCUCGCUCCUUCCCACGCACCACACUCGGAGCAAGCCCCCAUGGUGGCUUGUCCCCACCGCCGGGGUUUGCACCGCUAACCAGAGUGGUGCCCCAAAACCGAUCGGGGUGCAAGGUCCUGGUGCUGGCAGGUGCCAGCUGGAUCCAGGGUUAUUGCAGAUGAGGAAGCAAGCAUUAGACAGUCCAUCUGUCCAUCUGUCAUCCCAUAGCUUUGGCAUAUUCUGUCUGGUUUCAGCCUGUUCGGAUGAAUAGGAUGAUACCCAUCACCCCAGAAGCUGGACCUGGAUCCUGCCCUCCCUCCUUUGCCAUCAUUAUUUGCCAGAUGUACCCUCCCAUCUUUCAGAGCAGGGCCCUGGUGAUACAGGAUGGUCCAGAGCUCCCUCUCCUCCAUCCCUGGCUGCCGAUGCUGCGGUGGGAGAGCAAUCAGGCUUCCCAUCGGGGGCCAGCCAGCCUCAGCACUUAUAUUGGAUUAUUUGCAGUCAUGAAGGGAGCGCAACAAGGGAAAUAAAGCUACACAAAGCUCCUGCUAAUUUAGACUUAUUUGCUCAAGUGAAUUUUCUAUUGGCAGGAUGUCUGCAUAUCAAAGGAGUCCCCGGUCACAGCCUCCCAAACACAGCGUCGUCAACGGUGGGGUAAUAGCUGCAAGAACAGUAAAAUAGCAAUAAUGUGAACAAUAAUCAAAUAUGGGUUACACAUGCAUUUAAACCAUGGCAAAAUGCACUGCCGUGGUGCAUUGGGAAGGUGUAAAUUAUAGCAAAAUGGAUUCCUGCAGAGACUCAAGCUCUUAAUUUUGCCCUUUGACUUCAGAAACAGACUUCCAAGAAGCAGGCUGGCUUAUACAUUGCUAGAAGAGAUUUCCAGCAGCAGGAUGUGUGGCACGCACCUUGGAAAUAGCCACAGAUUAGCAAACCUUUUCUGUUCCAGGAACUGCUCUUGCAAUAACCAGAACUGACCCAGGAGCUUCAUCAGGACGCAGACCCUUCCUACCAGUGGGAUUUGGUGAAGCUGCCCAAGCAAAGGAGCCCUUGGCCGCGUGGCGUGGAGCUGCAGCACAGCCAGGCUCAGCAGAUCUCGCAGGAGGCAGGCAGUUUCCUGACAUUACAGCUGGUUAAGUCCGUGCUCAUUCUCUCUUUGGGAGUUGUGUUAUGUCUUAGCAUUUCCCGCAGAUGAAUAAAUCAUGACGGAAAAGGC